rnacentral:lncRNA from 1 species
UUCGCUUGUCCAAACACUAUGAAGCACAUCAAACGAUUCCUGUUUUCUGCGCCGAGUGCAGAAAGACCGCUGGAGCCCGUCGAUCCUUUUCCCCUGAUGAGCCUUCCCGAUCAACUGAUUGAAUACGUGCUGUCUUUCGUAAGCCACACGGAUCUACUGAAAAGUUGCCGCAAUACGUGCAAGCUCUUCCGUAACAUAAUAGACAGCAACAGCUUCUGGAAAAUCAAAUGCUUACGGGACGGCAAAAUCAUUCCCGUGUUUCAGCUGCAGGAACUUCCGCCGCGCUACUACCAGCGCAUCUACACCGGCAACCCGUACGGCAGGAAUUUGCUUCGCAACGGCCACGGAGAUUCUCCCAAAGGUGCGCAGACUUAAUUAGUAUUUAGAAAAACUAGCAGUUGUUCCGCGUACGAAUACAACCAAUGAGCG